GUGAUGAGCCCGACCAUUUACGACUCGUGAAGAGGUGGCAGCUGGCUGA
rnacentral:snoRNA from 1 species